UACGAAGGGUGCAAGCGUUAAUCGGAAUUACUGGGCGUAAAGGGUGCGUAGGCGGUUGUUUAAGUCUGUCGUGAAAUCCCCGGGCUCAACCUGGGAAUGGCGAUGGAGACUGGGCAGCUAGAGUGUGUCAGAGGAUGGUGGAAUUCCCGGUGUAGCGGUGAAAUGCGUAGAGAUCGGGAGGAACAUCAGUGGCGAAGGCGGCCAUCUGGGACAACACUGACGCUGAAGCACGAAAGCGUGGGGAGCAAACAGG
rnacentral:rRNA from 1 species